rnacentral:misc_RNA from 1 species
AAAUGCGAUAAGUAAUGUGAAUUGCAGAAUUCAGUGAAUCAUCGAAUCUUUGAACGCACAUUGCGCCCGCCAGCACUCUGGCGGGCAUGCCUGUUCGAGCGUCAUUUCAACCCUCAGAACCCCUUGCGGGAUCUGGCGUUGGGGAUUGGCAUCCAGCCAGCCCCGAAAUCUAGUGGCGGUCCCUCCGCGACCUCCCCUGAGCAGUAGCGAUACCUCGCAGCGGGACAGCGGUCUGACCACGCCGUAAAACUCCCAACUUCUCAAGGUUGACCUCGAAUCAGGUAGGAAUACCCGCUGAACUUAAGC